GUCUGGAGAGAAAAGUUGACAAUAAGUUGAGUUACUGAUUUGAAAUAUGUCUCUUUAAUAAUUUUAAAGGAACAAUGUAAUUUUUUAUAACAAAUACUUAGACAUAUGUUUUCAAAGCUUUGAAUGUCAUCCAAUAACCUGACAAAUUAGAACAAGGAGAAAAAGAACAAAGCAGCAUUUUAAAAAGAAUCAACACUUCCUAGCUUCUCCAGUAGUAGCUGGAAAUAGAUAUAUAGGUGAACAGUCACACCAUGCAUCCACAAGGCAACUAUCACAUUUUUAAAAGAACCAUCGAGAGUUGUCCAUCACAUCUCCUACGUGGUUUAUAAUGUUGCAAAGAUGCAGACUCUGGAUCUCCAGAGCUUCUGGAGUGUUGGGGCCCAAGUUCCUGCAUUUGUGACAUUUUCAGAUGGUCUCAGUGCUCGAUCCGAGGAAUUCACUCUCAAGAGCAAGAUCUUCAAAUAACGAUUUAUCAUUUGUACCUGAAAAUGCUAUAUUAUGCAUUCAUUAGACGUUCUAAAAUGUAAAAUGUUCAUGUUGAUUGGCUGAUCUGUUAUUAUGCACAUGCAUUCCACAGUAAACAUGUGGAAAUCAGAUGACAACCUGCGGGAGUUGGUUCUGUCCUUCUACUAUGACGGUCCUUGGAACUGAACUCAGAUCAUCAGCCUUGGCAGCAACUACCUUUACCUGCUCAGCUGUCUUGCCAGCCCUAGAGCCUAGUGAUCGCCACAAUAAGCUGAGGUACGACCAGAGAUGCUGGAUAGUUUCUCCAAGUCACAUACAGCAUGCAGAACAGGGACAGCAACAGCAGAGGAAGCGCUGUCAUCGGUUGCGCUGCAGAUCCUGGCUGCUCCAAGACACUUUCAUCCUGUAGCUGCCUGCCUGCCUCAGGGCUCUCCAGUAUUUCACCCAAACUCUGUACAAUCUACGUAAUACUUAAGUCAUGAAAAGAACUUCAUCAGAAAAUCUGAGUGUUAUUUCACACUUCCUACCUACCAGGCCUCUAUUAAUUUUCACAGAGAUGCUACUAACUAGUGUACUUUAUGAAAGAUAUUCACAAAAGAAUUUUAGAAACACAUAAAAUGAACUAAUAAUCAUUUUCCUUUUUUGUAGAUGUUAACCUACGUCCAGUGGAGACACUGGAGCUACAGGUGGCAUCUGCACUGUGGGCCGCUCGUGCUUCUUGCUGUCUAUGUGCUGUCCCCUGGAUUGUUUGUUGUCUUGUCUCAUUGGUGCCCUCAUCUCUUCAUGUGAUGACUAACCUUGACUGUCAACUUGACACAUGUGGGAAGGAGGGACAGAAGAACUGCCUUCUUCACAUUAGCCUGUGGGCAUGUCUCAGGGGGAAAUUUCUUAAUUGUUAAUUGAUGCAGGAGGCUCUGCCCAUUGUGGGUCUGUCACCCCUGGGCAGGUGGACGUGGAACCAGUCAGUAAGCAGCAUCCCUCCAUGGUCCCGCCCCAGGCUCCUGCCUUGGCUUCCACUAUGAGGACUGUUACCUGUAAGUGGAGAUAAACCAUUUGCUCCCCAAGUUGCUUUUGGUUUAUCACAGCAACUGAAAGCAAAACAACACUUAAUAACCUAAAUAAAAUAUGUACAUGAUUUUACUCUUUAAUAUAGGCUUAUCCUUCCUCCAAAGCAUGCAGUUGAUAUUUCCUGAAGAAAUAAAUAUUUGCAUAUAUAG